rnacentral:rRNA from 1 species
GCCGCGUGUGUGAAGAAGGUCUUCGGAUUGUAAAGCACUUUAAGUUGGGAGGAAGGGCAUUAACCUAAUACGUUAGUGUUUUGACGUUACCGACAGAAUAAGCACCGGCUAACUCUGUGCCAGCAGCCGCGGUAAUACAGAGGGUGCAAGCGUUAAUCGGAAUUACUGGGCGUAAAGCGCGCGUAGGUGGUUUGUUAAGUUGGAUGUGAAAUCCCCGGGCUCAACCUGGGAACUGCAUUCAAAACUGACUGACUAGAGUAUGGUAGAGGGUGGUGGAAUUUCCUGUGUAGCGGUGAAAUGCGUAGAUAUAGGAAGGAACACCAGUGGCGAAGGCGACCACCUGGACUA